CACAGAACUCUCCAUUAAGGUGUUCACCUCCUCGAUCCAAUCGAAGAACCUUAAUGAGUUUUUCCUGUUUGUUUUUUUUUUUUAAUUUCAUAUCUGAACUCUUUGAACUUUUCAAAAGCUUCAGAUUUGUGUCUCAUACACAUAUCCAUACCGUGAGUAAUCAUCGGUAAAUGAAAUAAAAAUUAUGACCCUUAGCCUGCACAUCGAAUGGGCCACACACGUCAGUGUGUACUAGGGUAAGUAUUUCAGUGGACCUCUCCCGUGUCCUACAAAGGAUAAUUUGGCCAUCUUUCCU
rnacentral:lncRNA from 1 species